rnacentral:rRNA from 1 species
CCUACGGGAGGCAGCAGUGGGGAAUUUUGGACAAUGGGCGCAAGCCUGAUCCAGCAAUGCCGCGUGAGUGAAGAAGGCCUUCGGGUUGUAAAGCUCUUUUGUCAGGGAAGAAACGGUCUACUCUAAUACAGUGGGCUAAUGACGGUACCUGAAGAAUAAGCACCGGCUAACUACGUGCCAGCAGCCGCGGUAAUACGUAGGGUGCAAGCGUUAAUCGGAAUUACUGGGCGUAAAGCGUGCGCAGGCGGUUAUAUAAGUCAGAUGUGAAAUCCCCGGGCUCAACCUGGGAACUGCAUUUGAGACUGUAUGGCUAGAGUGUGUCAGAGGGGGGUAGAAUUCCACGUGUAGCAGUGAAAUGCGUAGAUAUGUGGAGGAAUACCGAUGGCGAAGGCAGCCCCCUGGGAUAACACUGACGCUCAUGCACGAAAGCGUGGGGAGCAAACAGGAUUAGAUACCCUGGUAGUCCACGCCCUAAACGAUGUCUACUAGUUGUCGGGACUUAAUUGUCUUGGUAACGCAGCUAACGCGUGAAGUAGACCGCCUGGGGAGUACGGUCGCAAGAUUAAAACUCAAAGGAUUGACGG